CUACUUCUCCUUAGUCAUGGAUCUUAAACAACAUACCAAAACCAAACCUAAUCGGGUUCAGUUGCGAACGGUGUCGUUUGCUUCUCCCUAUUGUUCGUAUUCACUUUGCCAUUGACAUUGACAACGAUUCCAACUACAGACCACUAAAGUGAAAAAUUUCUCAGUCACAAAAAUUUCUUAACUCCCUUUUUCUCCUUGUCUAUAUUUCCCUUCGUCUUGUCACUCUGCAAAUCCAUUUCCCAGCUUUCAUCUUGAAUUUGAGACAUCAAUCUGCGCUGUGCUAUUUGGAAAGUUCACACCUAUUUUACUUACUGGUUGACUUUUUGUGAUAGAGAUCUGUGUACCACUGCAGAUUCUCCCAUGGAUCUUGUGCAUUUGAAUAAUGUUGCUCGAGUAACAACAUCCUGAUUGAAGAAUUCCUUUGACAGGUGGAAUAUUAAAUGGUUGUUUGGGUUUGAAGUUUAUUUUUGAAAUCAGGAGUUCCCUGCAUCGUAAAAACACUUCAAGUGUCCCUGUUUGCUUUUCAAAUUGUUGUCAGAUGUCAGAAACUGACUUGGCAGUUAUUAAACCCGAGAUGAUGAAGCCUUAUGUCUGGCUUCAGACUUCAGAUGAUUCAAUCCAACAAGUGGAACAAGAAAUUGCAAUGUUUUGCCCACUUAUAUGUCAAGAAAUAAUACAAAAAGGCUUGGGAUCUUCCAAGAACUGUGCAAUAUGUCUUCCUCAACAAGUCAGUCCUGCCAUGUUGAGCUUAAUUCUUGAUUAUUGUCGUUUUCAUCAAGUACCAGGCCGGUCAAACAAGGAACGUAAAUCUUAUGAUGAGAAAUUUGUUAGGAUAGACACAGAGAGGCUAUGUGAGUUGACAUCUGCUGCAGACAGCCUUCAGUUAAAACCGUUAGUCGAUCUAACCAGCCGUGCACUUGCUCGAAUAAUUGAAGGGAAGACGCCAGAGGAGAUACGUGAUAUAUUUCAUUUGCCAGAUGAUCUUACAGAGGAAGAAAAGCUGGAGCCAUUGAGAAAUAUAACUGCUGACCCAAGGAUCAGGCUUUUGAACCGUUUGUAUGCAAAAAAGAGAAAAGAACUAAAAGAGCGUGAAAGGUUAAAGAAUGUUGAGGUUGAAGAAGAACAUGUGGAUGAUCGUUCAGUUGAUGACUUAUUGUCUUUUAUCAAUGGAAAUGAUGGAGAUCCAAAGGGAGUUAAAACUUCAAAGAAUAAAAAGAAGAAUAGGAGGAAAAAAGAGCAACAGAAGAAUUCUUCUUUGAAGGAGGCAUCUGAACUGAACAAGAAGGAGGUAAAUGGUCAUGAUAUCAGACACCAAAGUUCUGAAGCUGAGAUAAUUAGUGAGACCUCGUAUUUACACUAUGCAGAAGAUGAUGCUUUUACUUCUAAGCCUGAGUUUGAUGAUGGUGAUAUAGAUGAUGAGAUUGAUCCCGCUUUAAAGGAAAAAAUUGACAGUAACAAGAGAGCAAAGGAAUCUAUAACAAAGGUGUUGCUUGACUGAGACACAGCUCUUAGUCAAUUGAAAUUUCAUUUGCAGCAUGCCUAGCAAACUAUUAAGUAUGCAAAGUCAGGCCCCAAAGGCAGCAAUUUUUUGUUUGCCGCAACUGUCCCAAGCUAUUCCCGCAGUACUCUGCCCCCUUCCAGAUGGUGUCCUGCAUUGGAAAUGUGGCCUAUAAGUUCCAGUUACCUCCAUCAGCUCAAAUUCAUUCCAUAUUCCAUGUUUCUCAGCUUAAAAAGUCCUUGAGAAGUGGUUUUUGCUGACUGUUUUUUGAACCCCAACUACUGGAGAUUGGUGAAGUGGAACCUCCCACCCCUGAGGCUAUCUUAGCAACUAGAGAGAUUUGAAGCCAUGGAUCCAGUGGUGGAAUGGCUGAUCUUUUGGCGGUCCCUGCCAGUGGAGGAAGCACCAAGGGAGCUUGCUACUUCCAUUCAAAAUAAAUUUCCCACUUUCUGCCUCGAGGACAAGGCAUAUUUUAGAAAGGGUGGUAUUUAUAGGAAUGGGCACAAUUUGGAGAAGUCUUUUGGAGUUAGAGGAGAAGAAUUCUGUUACAGGGGGCAAAUGAUUGAUUGGAGUCCAAAGAUCUCCUGGAAGUGGAAGAUUUUGCCCGCAGAUUAAAUUCUGACUGGCCAGAAAGAAUGCAAGAACUUUUAUCAUCAGGGCAAGAACGGAAGACGGUGCUUUUCACUGCAGAUGGUUUUAUAAGGCGACAUGCUUGUAUGAUUUCAC